GGGUGAGUAAUAUAUCGGAACGUGCCCAGUCGUGGGGGAUAACGCAGCGAAAGCUGUGCUAAUACCGCAUACGAUCUCUGGAUGAAAGCGGGGGACUCGCAAGAGCCUCGCGCGAUUGGAGCGGCCGAUAUCAGAUUAGCUAGUUGGCGGGGUAAAAGCCCACCAAGGCGACGAUCUGUAGCUGGUCUGAGAGGACGACCAGCCACACUGGAACUGAGACACGGUCCAGACUCCUACGGGAGGCAGCAGUGGGGAAUUUUGGACAAUGGGCGAAAGCCUGAUCCAGCAAUGCCGCGUGCAGGAUGAAGGCCUUCGGGUUGUAAACUGCUUUUGUACGGAACGAAACGGUCUGCCUUAAUACGGUGGGCUAAUGACGGUACCGUAAGAAUAAGCACCGGCUAACUACGUGCCAGCAGCCGCGGUAAUACGUAGGGUGCGAGCGUUAAUCGGAAUUACUGGGCGUAAAGCGUGCGCAGGCGGUGAUGUAAGACAGAUGUGAAAUCCCCGGGCUCAACCUGGGACCUGCAUUUGUGACUGCAUCGCUAGAGUACGGUAGAGGGGGAUGGAAUUCCGCGUGUAGCAGUGAAAUGCGUAGAUAUGCGGAGGAACACCGAUGGCGAAGGCAAUCCCCUGGACCUGUACUGACGC
rnacentral:rRNA from 1 species